rnacentral:rRNA from 1 species
CCUACGGGUGGCUGCAGUGAGGAAUAUUGGUCAAUGGGCGCGAGCCUGAACCAGCCAAGUAGCGUGAAGGAUGACUGCCCUACGGGUUGUAACCUUCUUUUAUAAAGGAAUAAAGGGAGGCAAGUGUGCGUGUUUGUAUGGACUUUAUGAAUAAGGAUCGGCUAACAACGUGUCAGAAGCGGCGGUAAUACGGAGGAGCCGGGCGUUAUCCGGUUUUAUUGGGUUUAAAGGUAGCGUAGAUGGGUUUGUAAGGCAGUUGUGAAAGUUUGCGGCUCAACCGUAAAAUUGCAAUUGAUACUGGAAGUCUUGAGUACAGUUGAGGUAGGCAGAAUUCGUGGUGUAGCGGUGAAAUGCUUAGAUAUCACGAAGAACUCCGAUUGCGAAGGCAGCUUACUAAACUGCCACUGACAUUGAUGCUCGAAAGUGUGGGUAUCAAACAGGAUUAGAUACCCCUGUAGUC